CUGAUACACGAAAGCGUGGGUAGCAAACAGGAUUAGAUACCCCUGGUAGUCCACGCCCUAAACGAUGCAUAUUUGGUGUGGGCAGUUCAUUCUGUCCGUGCCGGAGCUAACGCGUUAAAUAUGCCGCCUGGGGAGUACAGUCGCAAGGCUGAAACUCAAAGGAACUGACGGGGGCCCGCACAAGCGGUGGAGCAUGUGGUUCAAUUCGACGCAACGCGAAGAACCUUACCUGGGCUCGAACGGCUUCUUAACGACCUUGGAAACAGGGUUACCCCGCAAGGGGGUGGAGUCGAGGUGCUGCAUGGCUGUCGUCAGCUCGUGUCGUGAGAUGUUGGGUUAAGUCCCGCAACGAGCGCAACCCUUGUCCUGUGUUGCCAUGCCGAAAGGCGGAACUCGCAGGAGACCGCCAGCGAUAAGCUGGAGGAAGGUGGGGAUGACGUCAAGUCCUCAUGGCCUUUAUGUCCAGGGCUACACACGUGCUACAAUGGCCGGUACAAAGCGUCGCAAACCCGCGAGGGGGAGCCAAUCGCAAAAAACCGGUCUCAGUUCGG
rnacentral:rRNA from 1 species